rnacentral:lncRNA from 1 species
AUGCCAUUUCCUGCAGAACCAGGGAAAGACGUCCAACAGAAGAUUGCAAAACCGGUUCUCUUAUAUCUGUUAAGGAAGUUGAUCGGAGGUUCAAGUUCAGUCUUGUAAGGAAAGGAGAGGGCUGCAAAGUUCUAAGUCAUUGAGUCAGUUGUGUUGAAAGCUAGCUCUAAAGAUUGCUUUUACUGAAAAAGAUAUAAAUGGAUAAAAGUUGGAUGUCUAU